UGAAAACUAAAAUAUCAUGGCUGCACA
rnacentral:piRNA from 1 species